AGCUCUGUAAGCGUAUACCAAAGUUGUUGCAGUUAAAACGCUCGUAGUCGAACUUUGGCGUCAGAUACUGAGACUCCUACUGGACGUUGACGUAUCUACGCCUUUGUGGAGGGGGAUGCGGUGGUGCUUCAUUGUAUCGCCGUAUUUCCGCCACUUUUUACUGUGAAAAAAUUAGAGUGUUCAAAGCGAGCGUUUGCCAUGAAUACAUUAGCAUGGAAUAAUAGAAUAGGACCUGGUCCUGUUUUAUUGGUUUGUCAGUAUCGGGUAAUGAUUAACAGGGACGGUCGGGGGCAUUUGUAUUCCAGCGCUAGAGGUGAAAUUCUUGGAUUGCUGGAAGACAAACAGCUGCGAAAGCGUCUGCCAAGGACGUUUUCA
rnacentral:rRNA from 1 species